UACGUAGGGUCCGAGCGUUGUCCGGAAUUACUGGGCGUAAAGAGCUCGUAGGUGGUUUGUCGCGUUGUUCGUGAAAACUCACAGCUUAACUGUGGGCGUGCGGGCGAUACGGGCAGACUGGAGUACUGCAGGGGAGACUGGAAUUCCUGGUGUAGCGGUGGAAUGCGCAGAGUAUCAGGAGGAACACCGGUGGCGAAGGCGGGUCUCUGGGCAGUAACUGACGCUGAGGAGCGAAAGCGUGGGGAGCAAACAGG
rnacentral:rRNA from 1 species